UACUGGGCUUUUACUGACGCUGAGGCUCGAAAGCAUGGGUAGCAAACAGGAUUAGAUACCCUGGUAGUCCAUGCCGUAAACGAUGAUUACUAGGUGUGGGGGAGCUGACCUCUUCCGUGCCGCAGUUAACACAAUAAGUAAUCCACCUGGGGAGUACGGCCGCAAGGUUGAAACUCAAAGGAAUUGACGGGGGCCCGCACAAGCAGUGGAGUAUGUGGUUCAAUUCGAAGCAACGCGAAGAACCUUACCAGGUCUUGACAUCGAGUGACGAGUCUAGAGAUAGGCUUUUCCUUCGGGACACGAAGACAGGUGGUGCAUGGUUGUCGUCAGCUCGUGUCGUGAGAUGUUGGGUUAAGUCCCGCAACGAGCGCAACCCUUAUCAUUAGUUGCUACGGAAGAGCACUCUAAUGAGACUGCCGUUGACAAAACGGAGGAAGGUGGGGAUGACGUCAAAUCAUCAUGCCCCUUAUGACCUGGGCUACACACGUACUACAAUGGCCGUCAACAGAGGGAAGCAAAGCCGCGAGGCGGAGCAAACCCCUAAAAACGGUCCCAGUUCAGAUUGCAGGCUGCAACUCGCCUGCAUGAAGUUGGAAUUGC
rnacentral:rRNA from 1 species